UACGUAGGUGGCAAGCGUUGUCCGGAUUUACUGGGCUUAAAGAGCGCGCAGGCGGCCAAGUCAGUCGAAUGUGAAAGCCCCCGGCUCAACUGGGGAGGGCCAUUCGAUACUGCUCGGCUCGAAGACAGGAGAGGGAAGUGGAAUUCCCGGUGUAGUGGUGAAAUGCGUAGAUAUCGGGAGGAACACCAGUGGCGAAGGCGACUUUCUGGCCUGUUCUUGACGCUGAGGCGCGAAAGCUAGGGGAGCAAACGGG
rnacentral:rRNA from 1 species